UACGUAGGGUGCGAGCGUUGUCCGGAAUUAUUGGGCGUAAAGAGCUUGUAGGCGGUUUGUCGCGUCUGCCGUGAAAAUUCGAGGCUCAACCUCGAACUUGCGGUGGGUACGGGCAGACUAGAGUGUGGUAGGGGAGACCGGAAUUCCUGGUGUAGCGGUGAAAUGCGCAGAUAUCAGGAGGAACACCGGUGGCGAAGGCGGUUCUCUGGGCCUGUACUGACGCUGAGGAGCGAAAGCGUGGGGAGCGAACAGG
rnacentral:rRNA from 1 species